AGGAAGAAGGAUCUUAUCCAGCAAAACUUUUUAACCUCAGAUGCUCGUCUUGUCUAAGUCUGCGUGAACUCUUUACCGGUGCAGUUAGGGUAUGUUGAAAAACUCCUGUCACGAUUGCUUACCCAACUUCAAAAUCUUCCUUCAUCGCUGCAGAAGUACCAACCCAGUGUUUACAAAAUGAACAUGCAAAGAAGAUUAAACGCCCUUUACAAAAAAAAAAAAAAAACAAAAACUGUAAAACAACAAUGUGUAAUGAUAAAAGAGGAGCAUUUGAGGCUAAAAAUUAUAUAAAAUGUUUGUAUUAAUUUGUUUUGAAAAUGACCAAUCGUUUCGCUAGAUAAGACCCUUCUUCCUUGGCUGGGAUCGUUUAGAGCCAUUUGAAGCUGCAUUUAAACUGCAUUUUGGAACUUAAGACUUGGGAGCACCAUUGGAGUCCAUUAUAUGGAGAUAAUUCCUGAAAUGUUUUCCUCAAGAAACAUGAUUUCUUAUCGACUGAAGAAAGAAAGACAUGAACAUAUUGGAUGACAAAUGGAUAAUGCUCCUACAGCUAUUACGAUGAAGGAGCAACCAGACACUGUUACAAAGAGCUUCUUAAUAAACAUGGAAAGAAAAAAGGAAUUUAUUUACCAUUAUAACAUGCAGUCAGCUGGUUUUCUCUUGUUGUGCAUUUCAUUCACCAUUCUGCUCUUUGAAUCGAGUAAUGCCCCUACAGAUAGGCUUACAUAACAGUCGACAGGGGUGUGACAUUACUCCUCCCUCCUGGAAGGUGCGACCUCGCGCGUAGAACAAAACAAAAACAAAGGAGUGUAGGAGGAGGCUUUGGCGGAGGACAGACUCCCAGGAGGAGGACAACAAACAAAGUCCAGGGUGGUGACGACGGAGGGAGGAGCCAAGGAGGAGACAGAAGGAUCCAGAGCGGAUCUGACGGAGGGAGGAGCCAGGGAAGAGACAGAAGGAUCCAGGGUGGAUCCGACGGAGGGAGGAGCCAUGGAGGAGACAGAGGGGGCCCCGGAGCAGGAGGAGCCAGACGAGACCCAGGCCGCAGCCAUGAUGGUGGCCCACGGCGGAGCAGCGGGGCUGUCAGGAGACAGCAGUGGUGGGACUGAGGCAACUGGGAU